GCUGUACUGAACAACACAUUUCCAGUUAAAAGCGCAUUGUGACCACAUCAGAGGAUCUUAAUCAUAUAAACGCGAUUUCAAAAACCGCCGCAAAGACUCAGAUUAGCACACAGAUGGUGCUGUGCUAUGCUCGGAGACAUAAGCUGUCGACAGCAAACACCUCAAAGCUCUGGAGCAGUUACCACCAACGCUGCCUGCGCAAGAUCCUGCGAAUCCACUGGAAAGGAAGUUGCACCCGCACCAGCUCAAUCAGGCCAACAUGCCCAGUAUCAAGACACUGACUGCCCUCUAUUGGCUGCGACGUGCUGGGCAUGACUGACACGAGACUCCCCAAGCAGGAGCUCUACUCCCAGCUCCGGAACGUCAGGCAAGCCCCAGGCGGACAAAGGAAGCGCUUCAGUGAUCCCCUCAAGACCUCACUUGCAAAGUGCGGCAUUCCCACCCCCACGCUUGCAGGAGCAUCCGGGAAGGCGUUGAGCACCUCGAGGCUUGCUGUCAGGAAAAAGCGGAAGCCGGGGGGUAAACAGUGCAAGGAGCGCGCUGUCACAGCAAAGCCCCACCCACCCCCUUUCCCAUUACCACCCUCUGCCCCAAGUGUAAGAGAGCCUGCGGUCGUUGUAUCGGUCUGAACAGCCACCUACACACUCACCCUAAGAGUCACCCUCAUCUCUACUCUGAUCACCCUGAGAGGAGAACUUAUAAGCCCCUUGAACUCAGAGACCUGAUGACGGAGGUGAUCUAGAUGUUGCAAUUGAUGCUUUUUUGACAUUUCGAUGACCAAUGGCAUAAAGGGUGCUGGAAGCAGUGGAGGUAAGAGGAGUUGAAAUGUUUGAUAAGCUAUGACUGUGUU